rnacentral:rRNA from 3 species
GACGAACGCUGGCGGCGUGCUUAACACAUGCAAGUCGAACGAGACGGAUUGGGAGCUUGCUCCUGACAAGUCGAGUGGCAAACGGGUGAGUAACGCGUAGACAACCUGCCGCAAAGAUGGGGACAACAGCCCGAAAGGGCUGCUAAUACCGAAUGUUGCGCCCCUCCCGCAUGGGAGGGGCGCCAAAGAUGGCCUCUGCCUGCAAGCCAUCGCUUUGCGAUGGGUCCUGCGCCUUAUUAGCCAGUUGGCGGGGCAACGGCCCACCAAGGCGACGAUCAGUAGCCGGUCCUGAGAGGAUGGACGGCCACAUUGGGACUGAGACACGGCCCAGACUCCUACGGGAGGCAGCAGUGGGGAAUCUUCCGCAAUGGGCGAAAGCCUGACGGAGCAACGCCGCGUGGGUGAAGAAGGUCUUCGGAUGCGUAAAGCCCUGUUGCCCGGGACGAACGCCCCCGGCGCGAACAGCGCCGGGGGGUGACGGUACCGGGCGAGGAAGCCACGGCCAACUACGUGCCAGCAGCCGCGGUAAUACGUAGGUGGCGAGCGUUGUCCGGAAUCAUUGGGCGUAAAGGGAGCGCAGGCGGGCAUGCAAGUCCAUCUUAAAAGCGCGGGGCCCAACCCCGCGAGGGGAUGGAAACUGCAUGCCUUGAGUGCAGGAGAGGAAAGCGGAAUUCCCAGUGUAGCGGUGAAAUGCGUAGAUAUUGGGAGGAACACCAGUGGCGAAGGCGGCUUUCUGGACUGCAACUGACGCUGAGGCUCGAAAGCCAGGGGAGCGAACGGGAUUAGAUACCCCGGUAGUCCUGGCCGUAAACGAUGAAUGCUAGGUGUGGGGGGUAUCGACCCCUCCCGUGCCGGAGUCAACGCAAUAAGCAUUCCGCCUGGGGAGUACGGCCGCAAGGCUGAGACUCAAAGGAAUUGACGGGGGCCCGCACAAGCGGUGGAGUAUGUGGUUCAAUUCGACGCAUGGCGAAGGAACCUUACCAGGGCCUUGACAUUGAGUGACACGGGCCGGAGACGGCCCCCCUCCCCUCGGGGGACACGGAAAACAGGGUGGUGCAGUGGCUGUCGUCAGCCUCGUUGUCGUGAGAUGUGGGGUCAAGAUCCCGCCACCGAGCGCCACCCCCCGUUCCCUCGUUGGCCAGCGACGCACAGGGCGGGGAACCCAAGGGAAGACCGCCGCCGGACUACGCCGAGGAAGGCGGGGGACGACGUUCAGUUAUUCAUGCC